CUNAAUGCNAGUCGAGCGGUAACAGAAAGUAGCUUGCUACUUUGCUGACGAGCGGCGGACGGGUGAGUAAUGCUUGGGAACAUGCCUUGAGGUGGGGGACAACAGUUGGAAACGACUGCUAAUACCGCAUAAUGUCUACGGACCAAAGGGGGCUUCNGCUCUCGCCUUUANAUUGGCCCAAGUGGGAUUAGCUAGUUGGUGAGGUAAUGGCUCACCAAGGCGACGAUCCCUAGCUGGUUUGAGAGGAUGAUCAGCCACACUGGGACUGAGACACGGCCCAGACUCCUACNGGAGGCAGCANUGGGGAAUAUUGCACAAUGGGCGCAAGCCUGAUGCAUCCAUGCCGCGUGUGUGAAGAANGCCUUCNGGUUGUAAAGCACUUUCAGUCANGAGGAAAGGUUAACGGUUAAUACCCGUUAGCUGUGACGUUACUGACANAAGAAGCACCGGCUAACUCCGUGCCAGCNGCCGCGGUAAUACGGANGGUGCNAGCGUUAAUCGNAAUUACUGGGNGUAAAGC
rnacentral:rRNA from 1 species